AUUGAACGCUGGCGGAAUGCUUUACACAUGCAAGUCGAACGGUAGAGGGGGCAACCCCUUGAGAGUGGCGAACGGGUGAGUAAUAUAUCGGAACGUGCCCAGUCGUGGGGAUAACGUAGCGAAAGUUACGCUAAUACCGCAUACGAUCUACGGAUGAAAGCGGGGGACUCGCAAGAGCCUCGCGCGAUUGGAGCGGCCGAUAUCAGAUUAGGUAGUUGGUGGGGUAAAGGCUCACCAAGCCAACGAUCUGUAGCUGGUCUGAGAGGACGACCAGCCACACUGGAACUGAGACACGGUCCAGACUCCUACGGGAGGCAGCAGUGGGGAAUUUUGGACAAUGGACGCAAGUCUGAUCCAGCCAUUCCGCGUGCAGGAUGAAGGCCCUCGGGUGUAAACUGCUUUUGUACGGAACGAAAAGGUUUCUAUUAAUACUAGGAGCUCAUGACGGUACCGUAAGAAUAAGCACCGGCUAACU
rnacentral:rRNA from 1 species